GACGAACGCUGGCGGCGGGCUUAACACAUGCAAGUCGAACGGAAAGGCCCUGCUUUUGUGGGGUGCUCGAGUGGCGAACGGGUGAGUAACACGUGAGUAACCUGCCCUUGACUUUGGGAUAACUUCAGGAAACUGGGGCUAAUACCGGAUAGGAGCUCCUGCUGCAGGGUGGGGGUUGGAAAGUUUCGGCGGUUGGGGAUGGACUCGCGGCUUAUCAGCUUGUUGGUGGGGUAGUGGCUUACCAAGGCUUUGACGGGUAGCCGGCCUGAGAGGGUGACCGGCCACAUUGGGACUGAGAUACGGACCAGACUCCUACGGGAGGCAGCAGUGGGGAGUAUUGCACAAUGGGCGGAAGCCUGAUGCAGCAACGCCGCGUGCGGGAUGACGGCCUUCGGGUUGUAAACCGCUUUCGCCUGUGACGAAGCGUGAGUGACGGUAAUGGGUAAAGAAGCACCGGCUAACUACGUG
rnacentral:rRNA from 1 species